rnacentral:lncRNA from 1 species
ACAUUAUAAUAUAACUAGUUAGCGUGCACGUGCCUUGCACGUCAACAUACAUUGAAUGGAGUAAAAGAAAUACAUCAUUCGCUUAAAUCAGUUGAGUUAAAAGUUCUUGUACAUCAUGCCCAAAGAAGCUACACCAUUACAUUCUCUUCUAACAAUCUUCUUUAUUCGAAACGCCGAGACAAUAGCCAACAUCAACUUUGCAUCAUGGAAUAUAUGACACAGCCGAGAUUUGUCUCCCUGUAGCAUCCAAUCCUAAUGCUAUGGAAUACAUUUCAUCAUGGAAUACAUUAUUAAAGCUCACGCUCACAUGUACCGAUGAAAAUGGAAGUUCUAUAAGUACGUACUACCUUUAAUAAGAUUACUGUGACCUUGGCUCCUCCACCAGUUUGGUUGAAUAAUAAAAGCAUCAACAGAUAGCCAAUCAAUGGUAAAUAAAAUAAUAGAAUUUCUUCGACCACCUUAUAGCGCUUGUUCAAAACCGAAGGCAACCUAACAGAUGAUCUAUUGCUCUUCAUUCCGUUUAUUUACAGCUUGUAAGCUUGUACACUUCCUGACGGUUUUUUAGCAUGCCUAUAUGGCAACCUGCAAACAUAAGACGAAAAAGAACUGUUAGUGGCACAAAAUUAGAUAUACUUUUGAUUCAUAAAGUUUGCAACUUUUUGUGUUUUUUACGUAGUGUACUUUUAUACAUGUAAGCUUUGGGAUAGUGGCUCAAGAGCAAGAAAUGUGCAAAUCUAGAACAUGCAAACUGGAUUCCCCAAUAUGUGCUCAGCAAAUUUGGAAAUAACGUAGGCUAAGCAGUAUUCAGUUCAGAUAGAUUGUUAAAUUGCGAAUCCAUGCAAUUAAUAUUUAGACUAAAGAAUUCCGAUGUGUAUAGACUAAUCUGAUGUGUAUGGACAACUGCAAUACAUGAUGACGAUGCAUAUUUUAAGACCAUUCCAACAUUAACUUCAUAAACAUUACGUUUGACAAUUUUCAAACUGUACUUUUAGUCAAAAGCAUGUCAUAGCUCAUAUUUGAUAAACAAAAUGGUAAAUCACUUGUAAGCAACAAAUCAAAUCAUGCUCGAACCAUCUACAUAUUAUGCUAAAAACUCAAAGUUACUUUGUAUAAUGCAAUAAAUUAUCGAUGUGCUGCAAUAAUUUAUCAAACACAUGGUCAAUUAAGAAUCUUUCAUUGAUGAAUUUUAACAUCUGGUGGGCAGCCAUUUAUAGGAAUCAUCGAAUCAAAUUCCUUUUGCAUGGAGGCUGUAGGCAUAUCUAUAACCUAUUAUAUACUGCCAAAAGAUAUUGGUGGCAUAAUUUUGUAACACACAAUACAUGAUAGUUCCAGCAACAAACAAAAUGACUGUUUGAUAUAAACAUGCUUGCUCAAUAACCAUCUAAUAGGAUAGCCUAUUUGAUCUACAUCUGAAAUAGGAGAUGGAAAAAGGAUAAAGGAUUACUAUCCUGAUGCAUAAGCAGAAAAAUCAAAAGCUUUAUAAUAUGCAGACUGACAUAUCUAUCCAUUCAAUUCAAGCUUCUAUUAUAUAUAGAAACAACAAUUUGACUAAUAUGAUUUGCCAAAAUCAGCAAUCAAAGAUAACGAUGUAGACACAUGGAGACAAAACGAUAGGACUUUUCCCUCUUAUGCCUCUGUCCUGCUAUGCUUCGAGUAACUCUGUUCACAACCUACCAAGCAACAUACUUGAAUAGUUGCUAUAUAGGUUACUUUGAAUAAAUGCACAUUUGUAUGGAAACAAAAUGGCAGCUUUUGAUCAGGUGGCAAAUGAAAAUCCAUAAGAAAGAGCUCUCAUCACCUCCUGAUAUUGCCGUGUACUAUGAGAGUCAGCAACAUCGGCAGCAUAUGUUUACACAUAAAUGACAAAGGAAAAGAAAUAAGUGCCACAUGAUAGUAACUGACAGCUAUGCAACUAAUGUAAAACUUGCUGAUGGAUCAACAGAGGUUUGCUGGUGGCCCCGACGGUGCGUAUUAGGAAGCAGUGUACCAUUAGACAUAGACAUCAACUAAGCAGGACAAUGAUAGCAAGAAAAAGAAGUUAUAGAAAAAUCAAAUUUGAUCAGCUUGGAUUUUUUUUCGUUUUUUCCAUUCUACCUAGAUAAUGCAGGUGUAGGGCUGGAAAACAUGGUUUUUCAACAGUGAAAUCAUGAUCUGGGCAAUGGGGAAAGCAAGCCUUACAAAUCCUAAAAAGCAGAGUAGCAGAGGGUUACGUAACCUGUAUGUAUAUUCAAAGGUUAAAAAAUAUUCAGAAAUAUAAUUGUUGUUGACAAACACAGGUUAGCAUUAACGGUACCUAUUCUUGAUUAAAUUCUCAAAGUUACCCAAAGUUGUUGUAUUCAUGAAAUUGGGAUUUGUAGUAUG